rnacentral:lncRNA from 1 species
AACAAUUACACAUGUCGCUACCUUUCUCAUAUACACAUCUCCUUAUGGUUAGUACUCAGCGUAUGGUUUGAUUGCAACGAAAAUAUACGAUGAACUGAUAAUAUUAUUUCAUGUAGGGUAGCAACCAAAAUUUUCAAUUCACACAACACUUGCAGCCCACAUGUAUCAACCCUCCAUCCUCAACAAGUCUUCUAUUCAAUAUGCAAGGUAACAUAGUUGUUAUAUAGAACGUAAUAGUUUACAAACAUUAUUCAUUAUGUACAUUCAUUACUAUGUAAUAAACAACCUUAAGUGGAGUUGAUAUUGGAAGGUGUGGCUACAAGACAUAUGAAUGAUGCUGCUGACAAUGAAACACGAUAGUUAGACAAUCACCUUGAUGGCAUAAACAUCAUCAACCCCAAUAUAUGAGCUCUUAGCUGUGCUAUAACCAUAUGAUAAAAGUGAAUAAUUAUUUGCCAUAUAACUUCCUAGCAUUACCAUACGAUAUGGAUGCACACAACUUGUGCUGCAGACUUUGGAAAGCACACUAAUAAGCUUUAUUGUACCUAGACCUAAGUCGGAGUUUAUACUAUUUUUGUUGGACAAUUAAAUAUUUUUAAAUUCUGCUAACUAUUUUUCUCCCAUCUCUUUCACAGAGUAAGUUUUUUAUUUGCAGGUUUAGAGUGAUUGGCUGUGGAUUGAAUUAAAUACUUGGCCAUGUGCAUAUAAAGAGACUGGAGAACAUAUCGUUUUGAUAUACUCCUUGAUCCUUUCAGCUUCUGAUUGCAUUUGGUCUUAGUUCGAAUUUGGAAUAGCUUAAUAAUUGAGUUUGUAUGAUCUCUUAGUUACGAAUUUAGUAAUGACAUCUGAUUACUUGAAGUUGAGUUUGUUUAGUUCAGUUGGAAAUUCCAAAUCAGAUUCCAAAGAAAUUCUUCAAUUUCCAGCAGUAGAGAACAGGCUGAUUAUUCGGCAGUUAAUUUAUUAAGUUUUGAUUAUAGCCG